AUCGCUUCUCGGCCUUUUGGCUAAGAUCAAGUGUAUUAAAUGUGUGAUUUCUCAUUAAAGCCCUUAUUUUUGCAAGGGAGCACUAUUCAGUAUGAAUUUGAAAGCACCUUCCUCUCUACUGGUGACUAGUUGCCUUCCUUUCAUGCAAGGAAGACGGCUUAUUGUGA
ensembl:snRNA U2 U2 spliceosomal RNA